GUCCUUCCCUGCUCACUUCUGAGAUGAAAAUUGCUGAAAAAAUUAGAGUUCCAUCCAGACAGAUUGGGUGGAGACAAGAAGAUGGAAGGUUCCCAGGGAACGAGAAUGUGGGACAGGGCGAUUCCCAACUUCUCCCACCGGUGUUUGUCUCCCUCUGCACGGUCACAGGCUCCACGGUCACUGGCUCUGUGAGAACACUUGCUCCAGAGCCUUGCCUGGGGCCCUGUGUGCCAGGCCUGAGUUGGGUACCGGGGACUUACUAGGGUCACUAAAUGGGGGCCGUUCCUACAGGGCUCCGUGUUCGGAGUCAGAGGUUGCAAUACAUGUCAUUUGCUGUGUAAACCAAAGCUGGGGACCAGGGGGUGGACUUGCUCGAGGUUGCACCGUUGGACAGUUAGGAUGUUCCCGUGGCCUGCAUCGCCAUGGUUUGUGGCCAGCUCUGCACUUGAUGCAUCAUUUAUGGGCUACCCGGAUUCCAGGGCCACAUAGCGGCCCGCGUGUCUCCCAGCCAGAGCCCCAGCUGUCUGGGGCAUUUAUGACAACUGUAUUGCCACAAGCAAGCCAGCUUUGCACUGUCGCUUACAGUGCUUGUGACGGCUCCACUAGCACCCACCCCACUCCUUUUGUUUAUUUCAGCACUCACUCACUUAUUCUGAAUCUGUGAACCUUGGUCAAGUGGCAGCUAACAAUGUCUGAACGUUCUCUACCCCAAUGCUGGGGCCAGCGUGCCAUCCAACUCAUACCGUGUAAGUAUCACCUUGUUUG
rnacentral:lncRNA from 10 species